rnacentral:rRNA from 1 species
GUACUGCGAAACUGCGAAUGGCUCAUUAAAUCAGUUAUCGUCUAUUUGAUAGUACCUUACUACUUGGAUAACCGUGGUAAUUCUAGAGCUAAUACAUGCUGAAAACCCCGACUUCGGAAGGGAUGUAUUUAUUAGAUUAAAAACCAAUGCCCUCCGGGGCUCACUGGUGAUUCAUGAUAACUUCUCGAAUCGCACGGCCUUGCGCCGGCGAUGGUUCAUUCAAAUUUCUGCCCUAUCAACUUUCGACGGCUGGGUCUUGGCCAGCCGUGGUGACAACGGGUAACGGAGGGUUAGGGCUCGACCCCGGAGAAGGAGCCUGAGAAACGGCUACUACAUCCAAGGAGGGCAGCAGGCGCGCAAAUUACCCAAUCCCGACACGGGGAGGUAGUGACAAUAAAUACUGAUACAGGGCUCUUUUGGGUCUUGUAAUUGGAAUGAGUACAAUUUAAUUCCCUUAACGAGGAACAAUUGGAGGGCAAGUCUGGUGCCAGCAGCCGCGGUAAUUCCAGCUCCAAUAGCGUAUAUUAAAGUUGUUGCAGUUAAAAAGCUCGUAGUUGAACCUUGGGCCUGGCUGGCCGGUCCGCCUCACCGCGUGCACUGGUCCGGCCGGGCCUUUCCCUCUGGGGAGCCGCAUGCCCUUCACUGGGCGUGCCGGGGAACCAGGACGUUUACUUUGAAAAAAUUAGAGUGUUCAAAGCAGGCUUAUGCUCGGAUACAUUAGCGUGGAAUAAUAGAAUAGGACGUGCGGUUCUAUUUUGUUGGUUUCUAGGACCGCCGUAAUGAUUAAUAGGGACAGUCGGGGGCAUCAGUAUUCAGUUGUCAGAGGUGAAAUUCUUGGAUUUACUGAAGACUAACUACUGCGAAAGCAUUUGCCAAGGAUGUUUUCAUUAAUCAGGAACGAAAGUUAGGGGAUCGAAGACGAUCAGAUACCGUCGUAGUCUUAACCAUAAACUAUGCCGACUAGGGAUCGGACGGUGUUAUUCUUUGACCCGUUCGGCACCUUACACGAAAGUACAAGUUUCUGGG